UUGUUGUUCUAAACUUACCAUUAGCAUAUAUUUGGUAGGUUAUUGUCACCUGAAGAUUUGAUACCGAUACUUCCUUACAUCUACCCUGGAGAGCUAGUUUAUGCUAAAUAUUUCACGUGCUAUUUAAUGAAUGAGGCUAAUGAUAAUGAAGAUGGAAAAUUGUCACUCCAGGAGAUGCUUGAUCAUGAAUUUAUUUUUUACAACACAGUUGAUGCAGAUGGGCAUCAGGAAAGCGAUGAUGAACAUGAUGAGCUUUGAUGUUAUAAAAGGCAUUGUUGAUUACAAGGCUAUGAUUGUAUGGAUUCAGAGGUGGUCCUGCUGGCAUCAUGAAGUGCAAAUUCGUUAAACUCACCUCUGACUAUAUUUAUCCUUACAGAUAUCAGGUCCAUUUUUUCUUUUUUACAAGUUUUUGAAACGUAAUCGUGCUUGCUUAGCUGAAUUUUCGGAAUGGUUGUUUUGGAUUUAUUUGAAAUGUGUCAGUUGCAGCGGGCCAACAGAGAUACUUGUUGCUUGUGUGUGGAAGAUGAACAACAAGGAGAAGAAGAGUGUGAGCAGGGACAAGAGCCUGAGAAGUUUCGUGGUGUAAGCUGUGGCAUUAACUUGCUCUGGACAAUGGAUAGCUUCUCCUGUUGCCCUUAAAAAGACAUUAGAUUCUUUCUUUACGAUAUACCAUUCAUUUAGUAGGAGAUAAAGUUACAAUUUAUACACACAUAAAAAUAAAAACACGUGAUUCGUAUUUUUUUUUCUCUGUAUGUUCUCUUUACAGAGUUUUUAUAUGAC